GCACCCUUAGCUCAAUUGGAUAGAGUAGCUGACUUCGAAUCAGUCGGUUGGGGGUUCGAGUCCCUCAGGGUGUGCCA
rnacentral:tRNA from 2 species